GAUGAAGAACGUAGCGAAAUGCGAUAAGUAAUGUGAAUUGCAGAAUUCAGUGAAUCAUCGAAUCUUUGAACGCACCUUGCGCUCUUUGGUAUUCCGAAGAGCAUGCCUGUUUGAGUGUCAUGAACAUAUCAACCUUGACUUGGGUUUUGUGCUCUAGUCUCGGCUUGGAAUUGGGUGCUUGCCGCUUUUACGAGCGGCUCACCUUAAAUGUAUUAGCUGGAUCUGUCUUUGAGACUUGGUUUGACUUGGCGUAAUAAGUAUUUCGCUAAGGACAUUCUUCGGAGUGGCCUCGUUUCUAGGACGCUUGUCCGCUUUCCAAUACAAGUUCCACCUCGUGGACAUGACUUUUUAUUAUCUGGCCUCAAAUCAGGUAGGACUACCCGCUGAACUUAAGCAUAUCAAUAAGCGGAGGA
rnacentral:misc_RNA from 1 species